rnacentral:lncRNA from 1 species
UCCAAUAUUGUUGUAGAUUUUGCCUUCAGCAAUGCUGUAUAAUGCUUUUCGGUGGUUCGUUUUCGUUAGGAGGAGGCUAUUCUUGCCGCCGCCGCCGCCGCCUUGACAUUCAUAUUCAUUAGGGAUCAAGAGCAUGGGAAGUAGGUUGUUAUGCCGCCACCGCUGUGUUGCUUAAUUAUAGUCUUUUGCAAGAGAACGCCAUUGCUUGCAGACGGCAGCAAAAGAAACAUGGUCAAUGGGCUCAAACAAAUUAUCUAGAACCAAAAACACAGGCAGCAGAGGAAGACUUGCCCAUUCUGGUGAUGAUAUGUACCUACUGCAACUGUAGUAUUUGAAGGCAACACCAGCGGCCAUGUUCCCACAACGACGCUUCUUAUUAUUAGGGUACAUGACACCAAAACGAACAAGCACUACAAAUUAAGAAGAAGAAGAAGAAGAAACAAAAUAUUGUACGUACCAAGAAACCAACCCUAAGAUUUUCCUGGCUAUUUAUAAAAUAUACGAAGCGGGUAGAGAAGAGAUAACACAUUAGCACAAGUCCUCUUGUAUGUAUAGAACUCAAAAUCGUAAUAAUCUCAUAGUAAGUAAUUAGGCAAUAAUAAUAUAAUAUUGCAAUAUUUUCGUUUUCUUUUCCUACUUCUUAUUAUAAUAUAUUGUUCGUUUAUUUCCUCGUUCAAUGGCAAGAGAAUCAAGUACGGUAAAUAUUGGCUUUGUUUGGAAGGCAAAUAUUAAGUGAUAAAAUAUUAUAUUCUUGUUAAAUUGUGGCGAUUUGAUAUGAUUUUUCAAGGAUUUCGUGGAACUAUAAAUAACAAUUCUUUUGCAACCAGAAUUCUUAUACACUAAGUAAUCUUGGCCUCCAAGGAAUUAGGUCAGUCAACCAACCACUACUGUAUUUGUACUCACGUGCUCGGAUUAGGGCAUACCAUUUUUAGAGCCGGCAUUGGGGGUGGGCGAGAGGGGCCUUGGCCAUGGCCCUCCAAUUAAGGGGCCCUAAAUUUAUAUACAUAUAUACUAUUAUCCAAUUUAUUAUAAAUAAAUAAAGCAAUUAAAUUAAAUUUCUUCGUUUCCUCUAUCCAAAAAGUUUCUUCGUUACCCACGCAAAAGCAGAAACAUGUGCUUGACGAAGGCGACUCCUUCCCAGAAGGCGAUUCCUCUCCUAGUUAGUUUCUGCCUGGAAGAACUCUAUUUAAUCCACCCAUCUCUUAAUAAUCCACCACCAUAUUUUCUCAUUUCUCCCCAUCUCUCUUCAAUCCAUCCAUUAUUUUCAAUUUCUCUCAUUCUUUUUUUUCUCAUAUCAUAUUGUAACCCUAAGAAUCAAUCUCACACUAAAAAGCUCACAAAUUGUCUUGGAGAUUGAUGGUGACCAAGAGGAGAGGAACAUGAGAAAUUGAAAAGGUAAUAUGAUUUAUAAUUUAUAAUUUUAUUUUUUCAUACAUUUGUUCCUACCCAUCAAACUAUUUUUUCAAUUUCUAGAUUAUACAUGGACAAUGACUUUGAUGUUAAGAGACUUAGACUCUACUUUAUAAUGACCAUGUAGGAUUAUGCUCUAUAAUUAUUUAUUGUAAAAUCAUUAUUCAAGCGCUCUAUGCUAAGGGAAGGGCCUUAUUUAGUUUAUCACCUAGGGCCAGCCCUCGGUAUGCUUAGCAUAUUGCUCAUGUUUAUGAUCUGGUCCAUGUUUAUUAACUGUGCGAUCGACAAAUUAGACAGCAGCAGAUCUCGAGCAAAAGAAAAGACAUUGAAUAGUACGUGUUUAAAACUAUGAUGAUGUAUGAUCCAUGUAAACCAAAACCAAGCACUAACAAAAGCUGAGGGAAGGGAAGAAAACCAUUUCAUUUGAUCUCUCAACGUCAUUUGUGAGCCCCUCCAUAUGUUUGUGCAAAAUAUUGUAUGUAGAAACACAAAAUAUAGUUAAAAAUAUAAAAUGCCAAAUAAUAUUGCGCCAGGGCAUUAGAAGUACCAUUUAGCAUAUACAUUCUACUAAUACGAGAGAUAUCUAAAAUUUCAAUUGAUAUAUUACCGACCUUCAAAUUGACUUUUCAGUUCUGCAUUUAGGGAUUUUUGCAAAGCAAGUUUCAUGGAUAAUUCCUGCAUCUGCAGACCAACAAUAGCAAAUCAUAUUAAGCAGAUCAUCACAACCAAACAGACGACCACCUCCAAGAGAAUAAGAGUGCAUACAUUUGUUAGAAAACAAAAUGAGGACAGUAUAUUUGAAAGCAUGCACCUAUUAACACAUCGAAGAUGUUCAUAUUUGCUUCGGUUCUAACAGUAGCAUACUUCGGUGGCAAAAGCAGUAUUAUUUUAUUUAAAAGGACUCUGAUGCCCAAAUUUUUUGAAACAUUUAAUGCUUGCAAAUAAACAUCCACAGUCUAACCUAAUCCCCCUCCAAAACGUUGAAAAGAAAGACUUGUCAAAAUUUGCAUGUAGGGAAAUUGCAGAGUCCUCUAUUAAUUUCUCACACCCAGGAAAAUUCGACGAAUAAAAAAAUUGCAAGGAAAAACAAAAGAUGGUGGUUAUAGCUGAGGAUAAAAUUAACUCAAGAUACUGAAUGCACAUAAUAACAUCUAAAAUAUAGUGAACGCAACUGCAGCACCUUUCCCUCAGAAGCUUCCUUGCCUAUCUCCUCAUUUUCCUCUUGCCGGGUCCUACAUUUAGCCAUUAACUGCUUCCCCAUCUUGCUUGUAGGAGUAAAACUGAGAAGCUUCCUUUUUCUUUGCUUUCUCUAACUGAUAGGAAGAACAAACCAUGAACAAAAAGAUGAAGAAUGCUAAUGACUUUUGAAAAGAAACAUUCACUAACCUGUUCUUUCAAUGACUCCUCAGAGUUCUUCAGGGACUGAAGAUAAUUGGUGACCAAUUUAGGAUCUAGAAGGAUAGGUUGAAAUCACCUUUUUAAUGGACAUACAGAAGAUGCACCUAAAAAAAUGACGAGGAAUUGACUCUCUAAAACAUAUAAUUUUACAUAAUACAACAAGAAAGGGACCCUAAAAGGCUAGUGUUCAUUCAGAAAUGAAGAAUGCUGCUUUCAAAUCUCAGAUUUUGCAGCUUCAAGUUCCAUCUGAAACGAAGGGAAACAAUCCAUUAACAAAUAGAGAAUUUAACAAUGAAUCAAAAGCAUAUAACAAGUAAGACUCUAGUGAAUGUAUCAACAAGUGCCAAGAAAUUCUUCGAGUUUGUGAUGAAAUUACGUUCAUUUAAUAUUUAAUAUUUAUCACCACAACUAUAAGCAUCCAAUAUUUUACCUAGUUGACUAAAAGAAAUUCAGAAUUUAUAUUUCGAUAUCUGAAGAAAAGGUUGAACAACAAAUACAUACUUGGCAUGUUGCAAGAGUAUCUUUACAGUUUUGAAGACUGCAAAAAGAGUUGCAAUAAAAGUAUAAAAAUCAGGACCUAAAGAAAAUUCAAUGCAUUAUAAUUUCCAGUGAUAUAGAAGUUUAAUCAGUGAAGCAUAACCCAUUGUUCCUCAAUACGUUUCAUGAAGAGACAAAAUCAUUCCUGUUGCAACACCAGGAGCAGUUUCUUCAACUUUUGAGUUCCCUGCAUUGUACACAUAAUCAUUAGAUAAAAUGAACAAAGGAGAAUAUAUACCGCAGAACUCUCUUAUAUAAGCAAGAAUUUGUGGAAGCCAAUGCAUGCAUGUAACUUCUUAGAAAUAGAGACCGGUUUACACAUAACAAAAUCCUACUCUUUAACAUAUUUUCUGACAUUGGACAAAAACUGCCACAUCCCAAGUAUAACUCUUCUAAAAUCUGAGAUAACCUUCACAAAAGUCAUACAUUACCUUUUAACUUUUUUUUUCCCCACAAAUGCAACAUCAUGCUUAAAAUACGCAUCAUAUGAGCAUUCAUAAAUAUUUGGUUCUUCACCUAAACUAUUCUGUCGGAUUAACGCACUAAUUUACAACAAUAUUGUUGCAGAAAUAAAAAAUACACUUUUGACUUUACCAAUGUUUCAUACAUGUCCAACCAAGACAGUAAAGGAAGAACAGAUAUACACAAAGAGACACAUUUACAUAUAAUGGUAAAGGUUCAACAUUUCCUAGAUUAGAAUGCCCGUAAUGAAUAAGAAAAGACCUGUUUUGAGCCAAAAGGAAAAAAAAAAAUCCUCUUCUUCGUCUCAAGAUCCCCAAAGCUUCUCUUUUACCUAAAUCUAUUUUUUUUAAUAAAUUAAUUAAUUUCUUUUUAAUAAAAAGAAGGAUAAAGAAAUCAAUAAGAAAUAUUCAAUCGCACGUUGGAAGCCAGUGUUUGGUUGCAAGGAAAAUGAAGCAUACCACGCCGCCUGAAAUUGUGAGUUCCAAGAAAAUGGCCUCCGAAAUGAUCAUCCUGUAUUGAACAAAAACGCAUUCCAAUUAAUCACAAACUAAAGUCAAUAAAAACUGGGGCAAUAGCAAGGGCACCGGAGGCCUUACGUCAUCGAUACGAUUGUGGGUAGCCAAGCCAUGGAGCUUGAAUUCUCAAAACCCUAGAACUUGAUUUCGAAGAAUGAGAGGAUAGAGGCAACGACAUAAUAUUAUUAUUAUUACCGGCCAAAAUCAACCACUUUGGGGUUCAACUUUUCGGGAUUAUUGGUCUUAGGACAAGCCCAAUGAUGGGUGUGGUUGCAAACCUCCGUUGGGCUGAGGCAUUUAGAGCCCACUAUUGCAGCCUUAAGGCAGAUGGAACCCAAGCAAAACUUAGUGCAAUAUUAUCAAAUCAUCGAUCUUAACACAUCAGUAAAAUAAACUCCACAUAUCUAUUAGGAAAAGAAAAAAAAACAGGAACACAGUUGAUCACAUGGAUCAUCAUAAAAAAGAAAAAGAAAAAGAAAAAAAAGUGCAAUACAUUACGUUGAUGAAAUCACAUGAAAAGUUAAUUUAAUUGUAAGAAGCUAGCUAGCGGAGUCCAUUAAACUGGGGUACAACCCAGACUGCAGGCGGUAUAUAACCCUGCAAAUCAGAAUAAGGAUCUAAGGAGAAAUGUUGUGUGAUGGUUCCGCUCUCUAAAUUAAAAAUACCCAUAUCGCGACAUGGCAUGUCGUCAUAUAACGUAUCAUAUUGGAUAUGGUCUCCGUAAACAAAAGACGACGAUGAGAAAUCAUGGGUAUAAUAUAUGGAAUUUGACUGGCAUCCAUGAAAGUUGGAAGCCAAAACAGAAACGGAAUGAUUGUCACCUAUGAAAAAGGCAUCAUCUCCAAUGCUUUUUACCUCAACAUGUUGUAAAACAGAUCCGUCUUCGUCGUCGAACACCACUUUGUAAACCCUAAAGCUUUCAGUCAUAACAUUCUUGUAGGCCCCUUGUGUUUGUUUACAAACUCUUUCGAUAUGCAUUAAGUCUCCCUUGGUUGAUUCUACAAGAUAUCUUGUAGCUUUAUAACGGUGGAAGCCUGCGUCCCGAUGUGUAAGCAGCUUUAGUCGUCGUAUUCUUGAAGUAUAAGGGCUGACAUCUAAUGACCAAAUCUCUCCCUGAUGUCCAAGUAGGUGGACUUGGGUUUGGUAAGAUAUAACAUCAGUGACCGGAUGUGGGGGCUUAAUCCAAGUCCAACGUUUUUGGCUUCGGCCUCUUUUCAUACGAAUGAAAGCAAAUUCAUCAUAAAUGCCCACAAAAUGAUUAUCUUUACGUAACAGUGCUACAACCACAUAGUUUUCUGGAUUCAAAGCAGGGUCAGCAGAGAAGAUGACCUUUCUCACAUUGAAUUCGUGGAAGUAUUUGUCACGUUUCUUGGGUAUGAGUGUGACAUCCAAGAGAGGGAGAAGAAUGGGCGAUGCCGGAUUUCUGAAAGGGUCCCGGAGUGCUAUAAUCGGACCUUGGUCUGUGACGGAUUCUAUUGUGGCAAACCAACCGUGGCUAGAGCCACAUGACCUCUUUUUAAAAGGCACUUCCAAUCCAAUAUUGUUGUAGAUUUUGCCUUCAGCAAUGCUGUAUAAUGCUUUUCGGUGGUUAGUUUUCGUUAGGAGGAGGCUAUUCUUGCCGCCACCGCCGCCUUGACAUUCAUAUUCAUUAGGGAUCAAGAGCAUGGGAAGUAGGUUGUUAUGCCGCCACCGCUGUGUUGCUUGAUUAUAGUCUUUUGCAAGAGAACGCCAUUGCUUGCAGACGGCAGCAAAAGAAACAUGGUCAAUGGGCUCAAACAAAUUAUCUAGAACCAAAAACACAGGCAGCAGAGGAAGACUUGCCCAUUCUGGUGAUGAUAUGUACCUACUGCAACUGUAGUAUUUGAAGGCAACACCAGCGGCCAUGUUCCCACAACGACGCUUCUUAUUAUUAGGGUACAUGACACCAAAACGAACAAGCACUACAAAUUAAGAAGAAGAAGAAGAAGAAACAAAAUAUUGUACGUACCAAGAAACCAACCCUAAGAUUUUCCUGGCUAUUUAUAAAAUAUACGAAGCGGGUAGAGAAGAGAUAACACAUUAGCACAAGUCCUCUUGUAUGUAUAGAACUCAAAAUCGUAAUAAUCUCAUAGUAAGUAAUUAGGCAAUAAUAAUAUAAUAUUGCAAUAUUUUCGUUUUCUUUUCCUACUUCUUAUUAUAAUAUAUUGUUCGUUUAUUUCCUCGUUCAAUGGCAAGAGAAUCAAGUACGUACGGUAAAUAUUGGCUUUAUUUGGAAGGCAAAUAUUAAGUGAUAAAAUAUUAUAUUCUUGUUAAAUUAUGGCGAUUUGAUAUGAUUUUUCAAGGAUUUCGUGGAACUAUAAAUAACAAUUCUUUUGCAACCAGAAUUCUUAUACACUAAGUAAUCUUGGCCUCCAAGGAAUUAGGUCAGUCAACCAACCACUACUGUAUUUGUACUCACGUGCUCGGAUUAGGGCAUACCAUGGCAUUGGGGGUGGGCGAGAGGGGCCUUAGCCAUGGGCCUCCAAUUAAGGGCCCCUAAAUUUAUAUACAUAUAUACUAUUAUCCAAUUUAUUAUAAAUAAAUAAAGCAAUUAAAUUAAAUUUCUUCGUUUCCCCUUCCCAAAAAGUUUCUUCCUUUUCGCAAAAACAGAAACAUGUGCUUGACGAAGGCGACUCCUUCUCAAAGUCGAUAAAUAAUUCAAAAGUGCAUGUCAGAGUUUGAAUUUCAUAAUUUGAUUUUUGGGUCAAAUAUUGAAUGGCCCAUUUUAGCGCGCUUUUAUAAUUUUAACGGGCUUAAGAAUGGCCCCACCAGUACAAUGCACAAAAUUAAGCCCAAGUCCAUCUUCAUACCCGCGUUACACAGACCCGGUUAAACAAAACCCGAUUCGAGUCCGAGUCUCAAUGACACAGAGCCCUAAACUCCCACGAUGCUCUUGUUCGGGGCGAAAGCUUUCAGUAGUGGAUUUUACCAUGACCUGAAUACUGGUUGGUACUAUAGCAUGCGAGACAGUUUUCUUCCCUCUCGCCAAGUACCUCUUUCAUUCUCUUCAUUUUGGUGUUUUGAAAUCUAUUAUCUCUUUGAUAUUAGGUGGAGUGAUUUCUAGUUUGGUUGGAAAAUAUUAUUUUCAGGCUGAUAAUUUGGAAACAUAUGAAACCCAAGUGAGUGCUUCUCAGAAUCCCAUUCGAGAAGAGCUUUUUGCACAUGAAAAUGAAUGCAUAGUCUUAUAGAAUAGAAGCAGUUCCUCAGAAACCCUCAUUGCAAUUCCUAUUGUUUUUUUGUGUCAAGUGUUCUGCCCAUUAUCCUCAUCUCUGGAUUGAAACUACAAAUUUGAUGAUAUUCCAAAGUUUUAGACAUUUAAUUUUGUACUUGUUCAAAGCAGUGAACUGCUUCUUUUGUAAACCGACAACACAGAGUGCUGCAGCAGCAAUGAUCUGCCUGAAAAUCCCCCUCCCACCUCAGAAUGGUGCCCUGGUUCUCGCAUAUACCUCUGGAGAACGUGUCUUAUUUAUACUUUUGCUAUAUAUCUAUAUUAUGCUUCUUCUAAUUGUUUGUACCCAGUCAGAGCCGACCCCCGCGGACCGCAAAAAGGAACGGCGGACGGAAAAAAGGACCAACACUUAUCUUUCUCCUUUGCUGCCUCUGCUUCUUCGUCCUCCUCUUUUUCCUUUGUUGCCUCAGUGCCUCCUCUUCUACCUUCUCUUUGUCCUCUUCUUCUUCCUUCUUCUUCUCGUUUUUCUCCUUUGGUGCCUCGGCUUCUUGUUCUUGCUCUGUUUUUGUCACCUUCUUCUCCAGUGCCUCCUCCUUUUUCUCCUCAUCAAUCUUCCUUUUCAAUGCCUCUUCCUUCUCAGUUCUCAGCUCACUUAGCAAUCUUUUGGCAUUUGUCCUUUCAGUGCUUUCCACCUUACGCGUAGAAGAACCAGCAGCAGCCUUUGCUUUCUCCUCCUCCUCCUUCUCCAGAUAAGCAAUAACGAGAUUUCUAAUUGCUCUUUGAGUCAGUGGUAUGCCCAGACUUGUGUCACAUCCAUACUGACACAUCAACAUCAUCUGUUCCUCCUGGUCAAUGUCUACAGAGCCACUGACUAACCCAACAAUCAUACCUCGAAAUCCAAUAUUGUCCCUGAGAUAAGAGACAAUUUCCUGCAAUGCAAAAACAAAACAAACCAACCUUCUUCAUUUUCUUAAUCUAUUAAUAAAUUAAAUUGACACCACAAUAGUUGGAAUCAAUGUUUACCUUGCUCAACUCAUAGCCCACUACUACAACCACGUCUUCCCGGCAUCCUUUCCAAAACCGCUUGAAAAAUUCAUGUCUUGAUAUAUCUUCAGGAAUAACAGUCGGAGUCCCGGGGAUAUCGAACAUUUCUGCAUUGCCACCACCUAUAACUACAAUACGAACACACCGGAAGCAAAGAAAACCAUCUUCAUAUGGCCCUAGACCACCUAUGAAGAAAAAGAAGAAAAGACAGAAAAAGUCAAUUAAAUAAUAAUAAUAUGUUAAUAAAUUUACAAAAGAAAUCUUUCUUUUCUUCUCUUACCCGCGGAAUUACUGAGUUGCCAAACAAACUUGAAAGGGUCGGUGACGGUGGCCACCAGCACACCCGGACGCAGGGGGUCCUCGCCAACAUCUCUCAACACGUUACAUCCAUUCGUCUUUGCAAAAUCCCUUGCUGCUCUGAUGUCAGUGGAGUUGUGUAAAUUCAACUGAAGACAAGUAUUCCUGGUUUCAAACAGAGAAAAUAAUUAGGAUUGUUAAUGAAAUAAACUUUUGGCUUAGAGAAAAAAAAAUUGAAACAAACUUAUAAAACAUAAAUAAAAUAUAUGUAUACUUACAUAAGCAUGUCAUCGUCAGUUAUUAAUAAAUCACUUGAACCAAGUGUGAUUCGAUAACAAUGAAUAAGGUCCUCCUCGUCCUCUUGCCGCGGAAUGCUGUUGUAGUGCAAAGUCUUUCCUCCGAAGUAAUUACAAUAACAGUUGGUCGCGUUCGUAGCCUGGUUUGCUGGCACAAAAACUUUGGGUAUCAUGCUAAUCACUUUAAUUUCAGAGUCCAGAUGGUCAACAUUGGGCCCUGCCUCCAGAACCGGCCUUUCACAGUCUAUGACAAAUAAUAAAUUAAUUAAAACAUUUUUUUUUAUAAACAAUUAAAAUUAAUAAAACAAUUGAAAAUAUGCAAAUAAAUAUUCAAAAUUAUAAACGAUCCUAUGAGUCUAUGACAAAUAACAAAUUAAUUAAAAACUUUUUUUUAUUGAUUUUAAAAUUAUAAAACAAUUGAAAAUUUGCAAAUAAAUAUUCAAAGUUAUAAGCGAUACUAUGAUUAAUUAAAAACUUUUUUAUUUUAAAAUUAAUAAAAAAAUAUAUGCAAAAAUAUAUUCAAAAUUAUAAGCAUAUGACAAAUAAUAAAUUAAUUAAAUACUUUUUAAAAUUUAAAAUUAAUAAAAAAAAUUGAAAAUAUGCAAAUAGAUAUUCAAAGUCAUAAGCGAUCUGCGAUCCUAUGAAAAAUAAUAAAUUAAUUAACAAAUUAUUUUUAAAUUAAUAACACAAUUGAAAAUGCAAAUAAAUAUUCAAAAUUAUAAUCGAUCAUAUGAGUCUAUGACAAAUAAUAAAUUAAUUAAAAACUUUUUUAAUUUGAAAACUAAUAAAACAAUUGAAAAAAUAUGCAAAUAAAUAUACAAAAUUAUAAGCCAUCCUAUGACAAUUAAUAAAUUAAUUAAAAACUCUUUUAAAAAUAAUAACAAAACUAUUCAAAAUAUUCAAAAUUAUAAGCGAUAGCUUAUCCGAUCUUACAAAACGCAAUAGGAUUGCUUACUAUUGGUGAAUUGCCAGAAAAUUCCAUGCUCAUCUUUAACAUUCCAUUCACAAUGCUCGGCCAUCGGUGUAAAUUGCUCAGUGUUCAGAAUCUUCUUAGCGAACUGUUCCGGAUCGGAGCACCGAAGCCGGAGACACAGCAUCGGAGGCGAUAGGUCUGUCCGGGAGCGGGCCGGACAAGUGAUGAUAAGGAGAUCUGAACCUAUCAGUAUCUCAGCCAUCUCUGGAUCAUUGCUCACGAUCUUAGCACCAAAAACUUGCCGGUAGAAGCGUGCGGCAGUGGUGACCUCCGACGGAGCCACCACAAGCAGUGGCGUCAGCUCCAUUGAAUAGAAGCGGAGCUAAAUGUGGAAGAGGAAUGAGACAGAGAGCUGAUUGCAGAAAUGAGAGAGAGAGAGAGAGCUGAUUGGGGAGAGAAAUGAGAGAGAGAUGAGAGAGAGCAGAAUUUCAAAAAUCAAGGCGCGGUUUGGGUUUAUAUAGCAGAAGGGAAGCGGUAGUUUCAAAAAUUACAAGCGUGGCUUUGUUCAUAUAACGGAACAGAAGGGAAGCGCCAGAGUUAGUUAUGUUCUGGAGUCGGAUUUCAUUUUGGGUUAAUUUUUAAUUCAGGUCCGUCCGAGUUUGUUAUUGAUGAUUGAUUUUGGUUUAAUAUUUAUUUCAGGUCCGAGUUAAUUAUUGAUGAUUAGUGAAUGAAUGGGAAUGCAAGGCACCAUGUUGAGUUUGGAGCCGAUGGUUUGCCGAGCCCACGAAUACUUUCGAUGAGUAUGAUACAGAAUACUCUUUUAUUGAUGAUGCUGAGUUGGUAUUUGCAUUUAUUCAUUAAUCUGUGUUGGCCAUUGUACUGAUUUAAUUGGUGGCAUUUUAUAUUUAUGGAUUUGCUAAUGCUACUUCUUUAUGUUUUGCGCAGGAUGAGUAUUUUAAAGUUGACAAUUCAGCAAUAAAACAUGAUGGAUUCUUUGUUAACAGGGGAAAACUGGAACGCAUGUGAGUUUCCUUCAAUCUUUUACCUGAUUGUAUUUAUGUAUAGUUUUUUUCCUUAAUUGCAUAGUCUAUACAUACAAGACUUUAUUCACUUAAUUUCUUCUUUGAUUUGGUACUGAAUAAGGUCAUAUUAUUUCCUUUCGAGUGGCCACCAUGAUUCGUGUAUGGCCUAUGGAAGUCUCGACUUUAACACGGUUUCUCUUUUGAGUACGUAAAAGUGAUGGUAAAAUAAAACCAUGUGUGUUAUUUGACAGAACAGAUGGAAUGUCAAAUGUUCUCUUCCUUGAUCUACAUGUGAUUACUGCCUGUAGAUAUAUGUGGACUGUAUGUUGUGUGUUCCAGUAGGGAUUUGAAGGCAUAGACUUUGUAUAAUUUUCUUUGUCUCUUUCCCUGGUUGAUCAGUGGUAUCAGCUGUUUCUGUUGGACCCAUUUGCUUGUGUUUAAAUAAUUUGAACAUGAGAAGCUAUGCUUGGUUUUUGCUAUGUAAUACGUCAAUGGAGGAAUUGAGUUUGCCUAAUCAUUGAAAUCAGUUUCAGUUUCAUACUUUGGUUUUGACAUUGUGGUCUUUUAUUAGUUAAUUUUUGACAUUUUCUUCAUUUAUUGAAUUUUUUUUUUACAUGGAUAGCGUUACUGGUAAGACAGCAGCAGCAGCAGCAAAGAUUACACUGACACUAGUGAAGAACUCAUCUGCUCCCAUUAUAACCACCGAACACCGUGAAGAUGUGAAAUUUCAGAACUAGUUGGGUGGACAUUCAUCCAGGAAGAAGUCUACUGAUUCUAAAACAAUUCUGGAUCCUUCUCUUUUGAAAGUUUCUGAGGGAGACGCUGAUGCACUGCAAAAAGCGGAGGUUAAGGCUAUUAACAAGCAGAACGCAGGAGUCCUGUUGUCGAAGGACCCAAGUAACAGGUUUGCAUUUAUAUCUCAGGCAUAUAAACAGGAGAUGUUUAAAUGAAAAUGUAACUUGGGCGUUUUCAAUUGUUGAAACUGUACUCUUGUUAAGUUCAAUUGAUUAAUUAGCCGGAGUAAAGCUUUCAAGUUUUACCUGGGACACAAGCAAUGCUACAUAAGAAGUAACAGUCAACAUCCAAGGGAGAUGGUUUCAGCCAUGAUCAUGAAUGCCCUCCUAACCAUUGAUAACCUCGUGCUAUCAGACUAUCAGUUUUAUGUUUACGUGAAAAAUACACUAGUCCUGUGUGUACCUGAAUAUGUUAAACUAUUAAUCUAUUAUCUGCUUAUACUCUUAUAUAUGCACGUGCAGCAUGGUAUGGUGCACCAACCAAUUGCAGUUUUAUUGUAGCCAUAUUUAGUUUUAUUCCGUUUAAGAUGUUGAGGAGUAUAUGCAUUUCCCUGAUAGUUUGUCUCCGGCAUGAAAGAUAUGCAUAUAGGGAUGGAGCUGCUGAUAGAAGAGCUUUAUUUGUUUAUUUAUUUAGUUUUGCAGGCGCUUCAAAUUUGGGGCCUUGCUCAGCUUUUGUUCCUCUGGUUUGUAUGUGUGCAGGGGGAGGCACUUGGCAAAAGUACAAAGGGAUUAGCUGAACCUAUUCAAGCACACAGCAACAUUGGUAAUGCUCGAGGCAGGCUUUGAGAAUGUGGUGAGGGAGGCAGUGCAAUGGAAAUAACCUGUUGUUCAGCACCUGGUGCAAGCAAGCAAAUGUCGUUGAACCAAAGCUAAAGGCACCUGGUGCAUUCACAUGGGAUUUUCUACUUAAGUCAAUUAUUCUUGAAUCAAAUAUUGGUUUUCGCAAAAUUUGAUUAGAUGAAUGCACUUCUGUCCAUUUUCAAAUAACAACUUAAUUGACCGAUUAGUCAUAUGCGUGUAAAGUCAGCACUACACAUAUCAUGCAAGACUGUUUUGUUAGAAAGAAAAACACACUUGAAAAACAGAUUGAUCUUGCCAAUAACAAAUCUGAUUCUCAUUGGCUCAAGUACAAAUUUAUUUCAUUUGCUCAGCUCAUAACAAGAAAUCAACCACGGUUGAUGUUGAAGGGUUAGGCCACGGCACUUGGACUGUGACCAUCUUAUCAACAAAAUCAAACUUUACCUCCUCUCCAUCAAUCUUACAAGCACUUGGCCUUUCAGAAGCAAACACACUCAUUUCCCCACAACCCUUCACUCCAAUUCUCACCAAAUUUGAGGAGUUUUCUUCAUCCUCAAAUUCCAGCGACUGAAUUGCACCACCCGUGUUGAGCAUGUUCACCAACCCAAUUGGAGCAAAUUGGAUAAACUUCUUUGGCAAAACCCUCACUGGAGAAACAGUGAGGAGCUUAAAAUCGAAAGGCUGAAGCGAAAUCUCUACCUUCUCUGAAAGCUUCAAGAGCUUCAGCUUCUUUUGCUGGUGCAUGUACACAGCAAAUAUGUUCAUUCCUUUGAUUGAAAUUGGGCUCUUCCCAUUGUUCCACUCUAUAUCUUUUGGGCCAGACAAGCAGGUCAAAGGCUUUGAGCACUCAGGGGCACUUAUGUUGCGCCUGGAUUUGGGGCACCAUCCUCCUCCUUGGCAAUUAAAUAAUCCCAAUGCUCCAGUGUACUGUGUACUGGCACAAAAUCAUACAAAAAGAUUGAAUUAGCACUAUCACUCAAAAGGUUAUCUUACUUUUAUUCUAUUUUAUAAUUCACUACCACUCACGAUAGCAUUUCUUAAUCUUACUUUGUUUAGGUUCCAAAUUUUGAGCAUGGUUUUCCCAUCAUGCACAGGGUCUUCAAAGAGGCAAUCCCUAGUAGGAAGAGCAUAGUGCUGGCAUCGCAAUACAGAGCCAUCUGGCAACACAAGGCUCUUAAGAAGCUUGAAGUUGUGCUUCCCAACAGAGUCACUGAUGUAGAUUGGGCCUCCGGAUAUAGCUCUUGAUGCAGCGUGGAAUUCAGCACAUGGGUGUAUGAUGUUGCCCAUCCACAGGCUGCUGUAGGCACAAUGCACUGCGUGACACCCUUGCAGCCAAUACGUCCCAUCUGCUACCCCCGUGGUCUUAGACCAGAAAUCAUCCCCUACGUAAAUGUGAAGAAAUUAAUACACGUGUGUACUACUGAUGCUAGAAUAUAACUUGUAAAAGACGUACCGACACAUCCAAGGUACAUGAAGUCAUUGCAGUGCUGCAUGCUGGCAAUUACUCCAUUGCCAUUGAAAUGCUUCUUCAUGGAAUCAGUCAGUGCCUUGUAAUAAGCUUUAGCCAGCUCAACUCGACCACCAAACUCCUCGAAUAGCAUCUCAAGCAACUGCAACCAACCAUGGCAUGAAAAUGUUUCAGGAGGGUGGAUGAAGUAAGUUCUAGAGUGCACACAUAACAAUACUUUUAAUUAAUAAAUAAUUUCAAGCUUCUCUUUUUACCUAAAUCUAUUUUUUUUAAUAAAUUUAUUUAUUUAUUUUUAAUAAAAAGAAGGAUAAAGAAAUCAAUAAGAAAUAUUCAAUCGCACGUUGGAAGCCAGUGUUUGGUUGCAAGGAAAAUGAAGCAUACCACGCCGCCUGAAAUUGUGAGUUCCAAGAAAAUGGCCUCCGAAAUGAUCAUCCUGUAUUGAACAAAAACGCAUUCCAAUUAAUCACAAACGAAAGUCAAUAAAAACUGGGGCAAUAGCAAGGGCACCGGAGGCCUUACGUCAUCGAUACGAUUGUGGGUAGCCAAGCCAUGGAGCUUGAAUUCUCAAAACCCUAGAACUUGAUUUCGAAGAAUGAGAGGAUAGAGGCAACGACAUAAUAUUAUUAUUAUUACCGGCCAAAAUCAACCACUUUGGGGUUCAACUUUUCGGGAUUAUUGGUCUUAGGACAAGCCCAAUGAUGGGUGUGGUUGCAAACCUCCGUUGGGCUGAGGCAUUUAGAGCCCACUAUUGCAGCCUUAAGGCAGAUGGAACCCAAGCAAAACUUAGUGCAAUAUUAUCAAAUCAUCGAUCUUAACACAUCAGUAAAAUAAACUCCACAUAUCUAUUAGGAAAAGAAAAAAAAACAGGAACACAGUUGAUCACAUGGAUCAUCAUAAAAAAGAAAAAGAAAAAGAAAAAAAAGUGCAAUACAUUACGUUGAUGAAAUCACAUGAAAAGUUAAUUUAAUUGUAAGAAGCUAGCUAGCGGAGUCCAUUAAACUGGGGUACAACCCAGACUGCAGGCGGUAUAUAACCCUGCAAAUCAGAAUAAGGAUCUAAGGAGAAAUGUUGUGUGAUGGUUCCGCUCUCUAAAUUAAAAAUACCCAUAUCGCGACAUGGCAUGUCGUCAUAUAGCGUAUCAUAUUGGAUAUGGUCUCCGUAAACAAAAGACGACGAUGAGAAAUCAUGGGUAUAAUAUAUGGAAUUUGACUGGCAUCCAUGAAAGUUGGAAGCCAAAACAGAGACGGAAUGAUUGUCACCUAUGAAAAAGGCAUCAUCUCCAAUGCUUUUUACCUCAACAUGUUGUAAAACAGAUCCGUCUUCGUCGUCGAACACCACUUUGUAAACCCUAAAGCUUUCAGUCAUAACAUUCUUGUAGGCCCCUUGUGUUUGUUUACAAACUCUUUCGAUAUGCAUUAAGUCUCCCUUGGUUGAUUCUACAAGAUAUCUUGUAGCUUUAUAACGGUGGAAGCCUGCGUCCCGAUGUGUAAGCAGCUUUAGUCGUCGUAUUCUUGAAGUAUAAGGGCUGACAUCUAAUGACCAAAUCUCUCCCUGAUGUCCAAGUAGGUGGACUUGGGUUUGGUAAGAUAUAACAUCAGUGACCGGAAGUGGGGGCUUAAUCCAAGUCCAACGUUUUUGGCUUAGGCCUCUUUUCAUAUGAAUGAAAGCAAAUUCAUCAUAAAUACCCACAAAAUGAUUAGCUUUACGUAACAGUGCUACAACCACAUAGUUAUCUGGAUUCAAAGCAGGGUCAGCAGAGAAGAUGACCUUUCUCACAUUGAAUUCGUGGAAGUAUUUGUCACGUUUCUUGGGUAUGACAUCCAAGAGAGGGAGAAGAAUGGGCGAUGCCGGAUUUCUGAAAGGGUCCCGGAGUGCUAUAAUCGGACCUUGGUCUGUGACGGAUUCUACUGUGGCAAACCAACCGUGGCUAGACCCACAAGACCUCUUUUUAAAAGGCACUUCCAAUCCAAUAUUGUUGUAGAUUUUGCCUUCAGCAAUGCUGUAUAAUGCUUUUCGGUGGUUCGUUUUCGUUAGGAGGCGGCUAUUCUUGCCGCCGUCGCCUUGGCAUUCAUAUUCAUUAGGGAUCAAGAGCAUGGGAAGUAGGUUGUUAUGCCGCCACCGCUGUGUUGCUUGAUUAUAGUCUUUUGCAAGAGAACGCCAUUGCUUGCAGACGGCAGCAAAAGAAACAUGGUCAAUGGGCUCAAACAAAUUAUCUAGAACCAAAAACACAGGCAGCAGAGGAAGACUUGCCCAUUCUGGUGAUGAUAUGUACCUACUGCAACUGUAGUAUUUGAAGGCAACACCAGCGGCCAUGUUCCCA